CUUCGAUUUCCCUCGUCUCUUUCUUAGAAUAUAGGCCGCCAGAUAGGGGCAAAUAGGAUUUUCUUUUAAGAAAUAUAAGAACAAUUUGUAUAAUUUUACCAAUUAGAUAAUUAAAUACCUAGUUAUAACCUCGCUAAGUUUUAAUUUGAUAAUACGUAUGGUUCCUUGGCUUUUAUUUUUAAUCUCCGAUUAUGCGAUUUAAUACAUCUGUCCACUACAGGCGAAUUAAAUCGUUGAGGAUUCGUGCGAAAUUUCAUCCUUCUAUCUGUAUCCUCCGGAUUUUUAUUUUCAUCGCAAAAGAUCAUUUGGACGAUUACGAUAACAAAAAGAAAAAAAUAGUAUUGGAUCUAAACGAUCCGAUCUGCGUAAAGAGUGGAGGAAAAUAUGUUUCUGCAUACGAGUUCCAAUAUUUCCGUUAACUCGAUUUACUUAAAUAACCAAACAGUAUUACGGAAAUUUCAUGCAACGUGAUUGAUGAUAAAAAUAUAGUGUCCUUGAUUAUUUUAUUUCCACGAUCAGACAGGGUGACGGUUUCGUACGGUACUGGUCUAAUUCAGUUACCCUCUUCCGGAUGGACCAUUGUCAGGUAAUAUGCAUAUGCUCUAGAACACGUCACAGGCAUGUACCUGCCGGUUAGGAAAGGAACGUUCAACCCUUUUUUUCAUCGAACGAAGGAGACCUCUUUUUUGUGAAGGCUAAAAGAAAAAAAAAGAAGAGAGCGAGAAUCGACGACCCCGUGACUCGGAUGCGAGGCAGACUUACCCCCGUGGUCCCAUCCUGCUUUUUCAUGGUGAAAAGACGUCCGAUGGGGGGCGAUUCAAUGCUCUUCUAAUUAUAUGCAAAGAC
rnacentral:misc_RNA from 1 species